AUUACAAUAGAAGAUGAAGUUAUUACUUCAUCUUUUAUGUAGAAAGCUUCGCACUUUAGGGAAGAAUGGAAGCUUUCGAUGGGCGCAUUAUCUGCGG
rnacentral:antisense_RNA from 1 species